rnacentral:rRNA from 1 species
AUUGAACGCUGGCGGCAUGCCUUACACAUGCAAGUCGAACGGUAACAGGUUAAGCUGCCGAGUGGCGAACGGGUGAGUAAUGUAUCGGAACGUGCCCAGUCGUGGGGGAUAACUGCUCGAAAGAGCAGCUAAUACCGCAUACGACCUGAGGGUGAAAGCGGGGGAUCGCAAGACCUCGCGCGAUUGGAGCGGCCGAUAUCAGAUUAGGUAGUUGGUGAGGUAAAGGCUCACCAAGCCGACGAUCUGUAGCUGGUCUGAGAGGACGACCAGCCACACUGGGACUGAGACACGGCUCAGACUCCUACGGGAGGCAGCAGUGGGGAAUUUUGGACAAUGGGCGCAAGCCUGAUCCAGCCAUGCCGCGUGCGGGAAGAAGGCCUUCGGGUUGUAAACCGCUUUUGUCAGGGAAGAAAAGGUUCUGGCUAAUACCUGGGACUCAUGACGGUACCUGAAGAAUAAGCACCGGCUAACUACGUG